rnacentral:rRNA from 1 species
UGGCGGACGGGUGAGUAAUGUCUGGGAAACUGCCUGAUGGAGGGGGAUAACUACUGGAAACGGUAGCUAAUACCGUAUAACGUCGCAAGACCAAAGAGGGGGACCUUAGGGCCUCUUGCCAUCGGAUGUGCCCAGAUGGGAUUAGCUAGUAGGUGGGGUAACGGCUCACCUAGGCGACGAUCCCUAGCUGGUCUGAGAGGAUGACCAGCCACACUGGAACUGAGACACGGUCCAG